AUCAGUGAUUUUUUUUUACUGCAGUUCAGAUAGGACCAAAAUACACAACCUUUCCUUGUAAAAAAAAAAAAGAUAAAUGUUCUCGCAUAACGCAAAGUAUUAUUUGUUCACCUUAGUGUUUAUUUAUUCAUUAAUUAUUUACCCACCAAUCUUUUGUCUACUGUGACGAUACACUUCAGCCUUUCAUUGAAGAAACUCACAAACUCACAUCAUAACUAUUGCAUUGAAACAUGCCACAUCCAGACAUCAAACAUCACAUGUGACAUUGCGUACUGAGCACAAUAUUAGCGUCUUUUAUCCCUUUCAUGCCACUUGCAUUCCUUUGUCUGAGUGUUUUAGCGGUGCCGUUAAGUUGUGGAGUGGUGGACUGAUAAAAAUAAAAUAUCUACAUUACAGCUAUAUACUCUACUGUACAGUUACAGCUAAAAAUCAGACCCCCAGUGCCUUCAUCAACAUGUUGAGACAUUAUGAAGCCCUGAGGCCCCUUGUGAGUGACAUCAUCGUUUGAGUUCUGCAUAGUCAUAAUCAUCACAGUUUGAAUUUGCAACUCAGAUUCUGGUUAUUUUUCCCCUCUGCCAUUGGAUGAUCUUGUCUGAUCCCAUUCCCUGUGUAUAAAGCCCUGAUGAAACAGUCCACAUAAAGGAGCAGCGUCCUCUUCAUCUGCCUCAGUUGAGCUGUAACAGCUUGACACCAGCACACAUUAUGGUUCCCACCAGUGUCUUACUGUUGCUGACAGCUGCAUCCUAUGUUCAGUCGGAUGUUGAGCUCACUCAGCCCAGCUCCAUAGUAAUUAAGCCUGGGGACCCUCUCACCAUCCCCUGUAAGGUGUCUGGAUACUCUCUUACUGAAUGCUGUAGCUAUGCGACGGCAUGGGUUCGACAGCCUGCAGGGAAAACACUGGAGUGGAUAACACACAUAUGGGAGAAUGGAGAUAUUUACAAGGCAGAUUCCCUGAAGAGCAAGUUCAGCAUCUCUAAAGAUCCCUCCAGCAGCACAGUGACUCUGAGAGGGCAGAACCUGCAGACUGAAGACUCAGUUGUCUAUUACUGUGCCAGGCGACCACUGUGAUACCAACCAGUAGAGGACCUGUGCAAAAACUUGACUGCCACAAUAUAAACAAUAAAAAAUGCUUGAGUAGAAUUAAUGUUUAAGCACAGUGUAGACAAUUACUCAGCAUAUUACAUUUGUGUGAAAUAACAUUAAAAUAAAGUAAAAUAAAUAUUCAGAAAAUGUGAAAUGGGUGGGCUCCAUGUA